UACGUAGGGUACGAGCAUUAAUCGGAAUUAUUGGGCGUAAAGGGCGCGUAGGCGGAAUUGUAAGUCAGAUGUGAAAUACCAAAGCUCAACUUUGGUGCUGCAUUUGAAACUACAAAUCUCGAGGACUGACGGAGAAAGCGGAAUUCCACGUGUAGCGGUGAAAUGCGUAGAUACGUGGAGGAACACCGGUGGCGAAAGCGGCUUUCUAGUUUUUACCUGACGCUGAGGCGCGAGAGCAAGGGGAGCAAAC
rnacentral:rRNA from 1 species